rnacentral:rRNA from 1 species
GUAGGUGGCAAGCGUUGUCCGGGAAUUAUUGGGGCGUAAAGCGCGCGCAGGCGGUUCUUUAAGUCUGAUGUGAAAGCCCACGGGCUCAACCGUGGAGGGUCAUUGGAAACUGGAGAACUUGAGUACAGAAGAGGAAAGCGGAAUUCCACGUGUAGCGGUGAAAUGCGUAGAGAUGUGGAGGAACACCAGUGGCGAAGGCGGCUUUCUGGUCUGUAACUGACGCUGAGGCGCGAAAGCGUGGGGAGCAAACAGGAUUAGAUACCCUGGUAGUCCACGCCGUAAACGAUGAGUGCUAAGUGUUAGGGGGUUUCCGCCCCUUAGUGCUGCAGCUAACGCAUUAAGCACUCCGCCUGGGGAGUACGGCCGCAGGGCUG